CUCAACGACCGUACCGCAAACCGACACUGGUGCGCGAGAUGAGUAUUCUAAGGCGCUUGAGAGAACUCAGGAGAAGGAACUCGGCAAAUUGACACCGUAACUUCGGAAGAAGGUGUGCCCUAUUAGUGUGAAGUGAACAACGGAGCAUGAAUGGGUUGCAAAAAAUCGGUGGCUGCGACUGUUUAUUAAAAACACAGCACUCUGCAAACACGAAAGUGGACGUAUAGGGUGUGACGCCUGCCCGGUGCUGGAAGAUUAAAUGAUGGGGUGCAAGCUCUUGAUUGAAGUCCCAGUAAACGGCGGCCGUAACAAUAACGGUCCUAAGGUAGCGAAAUUCCUUGUCGGGUAAGUUCCGACCUGCACGAAUGGCGUAACGAUGGCCACACUGUCUCCUCCUGAGACUCAGCGAAGUUGAAAUGUUUGUGAUGAUGCAAUCUCCCCGCGGAAAGACGGAAAGACCCCAUGAACCUUUACUGUAGCUUUGUAUUGGACUUUGAACAGAUCUGUGUAGGAUAGGUGGGAGGCUUUGAAGCAGGGUCGCUAGAUCUUGUGGAGCCAACGUUGAAAUACCACCCUGGUGUGUUUGAGGUUCUAACCUAGGUCCAUUAUCUGGAUCGGGGACAGUGCAUGGUAGGCAGUUUGACUGGGGCGGUCUCCUCCCAAAUCGUAACGGAGGAGUUCGAAGGUACGCUAGUUACGGUCGGACAUCGUGACGAUAGUGCAAUGGCAUAAGCGUGCUUAACUGCGAGACUGACAAGUCGAGCAGAUGCGAAAGCAGGACAUAGUGAUCCGGUGGUUCUGUAUGGAAGGGCCAUCGCUCAACGGAUAAAAGGUACUCUGGGGAUAACAGGCUGAUACCGCCCAAGAGUUCAUAUCGACGGCGGUGUUUGGCACCUCGAUGUCGGCUCAUCUCAUCCUGGGGCUGUAGCCGGUCCCAAGGGUAUGGCUGUUCGCCAUUUAAAGAGGUACGUGAGCUGGGUUUAAAACGUCGUGAGACAGUUUGGUCCCUAUCUUCCGUGGGCGCUGCAGAUUUGAGGAAGCCUGCUCCUAGUACGAGAGGACCGGAGUGGACACACCUCUGGUGUAUCGGUUGUCACGCCAGUGGCAUUGCCGAGUAGCUAAGUGUGGAAGAGAUAACCGCUGAAAGCAUCUAAGCGGGAAACUCGUUUCAAGAUGAGAUCUGCCGGGGCCUUGAGCCCCCUGAAGAGUCGUUCAAGACCAGGACGUUGAUAGGUCAGGUGUGGAAGCGCAGUAAUGCGUUAAGCUAACUGAUACUAAUUGCUCGUGCGGCUUGAUC
rnacentral:rRNA from 1 species